rnacentral:rRNA from 1 species
ACCAGACUCCUACGGGAGGCAGCAGUGGGGAAUAUUGGGCAAUGGGCGCAAGCCUGACCCAGCAAUGCCGCGUGAAGGAAGAAGGCUUUCGGGUUGUAAACUUCUUUGACAGGGGAAGAGCAGAAGACGGUACCCUGAAAACAAGCCACGGCUAACUACGUGCCAGCAGCCGCGGUAAUACGUAGGUGGCAAGCGUUAUCCGGAUUUACUGGGUGUAAAGGGCGUGUAGGCGGGAAAGCAAGUCAGAUGUGAAAACCACGGGCUCAACCUGUGGCCUGCAUUUGAAACUGUUUUUCUUGAGUACUGGAGAGGCAGACGGAAUUCCUAGUGUAGCGGUGAAAUGCGUAGAUAUUAGGAGGAACACCAGUGGCGAAGGCGGUCUGCUGGACAGCAACUGACGCUGAGGCGCGAAAGCGUGGGGAGCAAACAGGAUUAGAUACCCCUGUA